GCGCUGCAUUAGCUAGUUGGUAAGGUAACGGCUUACCAAGGCAACGAUGCAUAGCCGACCUGAGAGGGUGAUCGGCCACACUGGAACUGAGACACGGUCCAGACUCCUACGGGAGGCAGCAGUAGGGAAUCUUCCGCAAUGGGCGAAAGCCUGACGGAGCAACGCCGCGUGAGUGAUGAAGGUCUUCGGAUCGUAAAACUCUGUUAUUAGGGAAGAACAUAUGUGUAAGUAACUGUGCACAUCUUGACGGUACCUAAUCAGAAAGCCACGGCUAACUACGUGCCAGCAGCCGCGGUAAUACGUAGGUGGCAAGCGUUAUCCGGAAUUAUUGGGCGUAAAGCGCGCGUAGGCGGUUUUUUAAGUCUGAUGUGAAAGCCCACGGCUCAACCGUGGAGGGUCAUUGGAAACUGGAAAACUUGAGUGCAGAAGAGGAAAGUGGAAUUCCAUGUGUAGCGGUGAAAUGCGCAGAGAUAUGGAGGAACACCAGUGGCGAAGGCGACUUUCUGGUCUGUAACUGACGCUGAUGUGCGAAAGCGUGGGGAUCAAACAGGAUUAGAUACCCUGGUAGUCCACGCCGUAAACGAUGAGUGCUAAGUGUUAGGGGGUUUCCGCCCCUUAGUGCUGCAGCUAACGCAUUAAGCACUCCGCCUGGGGAGUACGACCGCAAGGUUGAAACUCAAAGGAAUUGACGGGGACCCGCACAAGCGGUGGAGCAUGUGGUUUAAUUCGAAGCAACGCGAAGAACCUUACCAAAUCUUGACAUCCUUUGACAACUCUAGAGAUAGAGCUUUCCCCUUCGGGGGACAAAGUGACAGGUGGUGCAUGGUUGUCGUCAGCUCGUGUCGUGAGAUGUUGGGUUAAGUCCCGCAACGAGCGCAACCCUUAAGCUUAGUUGCCAUCAUUAAGUUGGGCACUCUAAGUUGACUGCCGGUGACAAACCGGAGGAAGGUGGGGAUGACGUCAAAUCAUCAUGCCCCUUAUGAUUUGGGCUACACACGUGCUACAAUGGACAAUACAAAGGGCAGCGAAACCGCGAGGUCAAGCAAAUCCCAUAAAGUUGUUCUCAGUUCGGAUUGUAGUCUGCAACUCGACUACAUGAAGCUGGAAUCGCUAGUAAUCGUAGAUCAGCAUGCUACGGUGAAUACGUUCCCGGGUCUUGUACACACCGCCCGUCACACCACGAGAGUUUGUAACACCCGAAGCCGGUGGAGUAACCUUUUAGGAGCUAGCCGUCGAAGGUGGGACAAAUGAUUGGGGUGAAGUCGUAACAAGGUAGCCGUAUCGGAAGGUGCGGCUGGAUCACCUCCUUU
rnacentral:rRNA from 1 species